UGAUGUUGCUGGUGCACCACACCCUGCCACCACCAACCGCCGCCAUGCAUUGUUUGGUAGGGCAAGAAGAAGAAAAAAUGCAUACUCCACGGCAUUGAACUCUUUGUGAAGGUAGUGUUCCUCUCAACACAACAUCUGAAAGAGAAUAAGGUUCAUCACCAUGAUGAGGAUUAUCAUUCAUCAAGCCUCGCCCUGCGGAACUGGUAGUGAUAAAAAGAAAGAACACAACAACUAUGGUGACCAUCACAACAACUACUAACUUCUUAUUAUUAUGCCUCUCCAUUUUUGGAAUAUAUCAGUUUCUAAUUAGACGCUUUGUAUUUAUAUAUAGAGUGUUGCUAUUCGGCACCUUAGGGUGCCCAAUACCACAUGAGGUGUCGGCUCAUGAUUGGUUAGCGAUACUCCAUAAUUCUUAUUAAAUUCAAAUAAGUGGGACCCGAUAUUAGAUUGCACCAAUAACGAUAUGCCAUCUACUUGUGGCGUUGGGCACCAA